CGGAGGAGGUAGCGGUCGCCUGUGCUUCAGCACAGGAGGAAAGUCCGGACUCCAGAGGGCAGGAUGUCCUGUCGCAAGGCAGGAUACUGGCGCCGCGAGGCGUCAGGAAGGAAAGUGGCACAGAAACUAUACCGCCCGCGAAAGCGGGUAAGGGUGAAACGGUGAGGUAAGAGCUCACCCUUUCUGCUCGAAAGGGCAGAAAUGGCAAAACCCCAUCCGGAGCAAGACCAAGCAGGGGGAUGGGUUGCCCGCCCUUAACCCCGGGUAGGUCGCUUAGAGUAAUGACCGCUGAUACAGAAUCCGGCUUAUUACCUCCUCCGGGGU
rnacentral:RNase_P_RNA from 1 species